rnacentral:rRNA from 1 species
UACGAGUGGCCCAAGCGUUAUCCGGAAUUAUUGGGCGUAAAGGAUGUGUAGGUGGUCGUAUUAGUCCGGUGUCUAACCUCUGAGCUCAACUUGGAGACAGCAUUGGAAACGGUACGGCUAGAGUAUGUUAGGGGUAAGCGGAACUCAUAGUGUAGGGGUGAAAUCCGUUGAUAUUAUGGGGAACACCAAAAGCGAAGGCAGCUUACUGGAACAUUACUGACGCUGAGGAGCGAAAGCGUGGGGAGCGAACAGG